rnacentral:misc_RNA from 1 species
GCUUCAAAAUAAAAUCAAUUCCAAGUGGUUUCUUGGGACUUGUAAGCUUAUUUAUAAACGUGUACUCUACAAAGUCACAUCUGCAAUUCCAUCCGCUUGGCUUGCUUUUUGAAGACUACAAUCUUCAAGUGUGAAUGCAAGCAAAAUUGGGACGGUUUAGCCUGUGAAGAGAGGGAGUUUAUUCCUCAAUUAUGUUAUUCGUUUAUUAUUUCAUUUAACAAAAG